rnacentral:lncRNA from 1 species
GAGGUGGCUUCCGGCCGCCAGGCGAGACUCCGCGGGAAAACUCCCUGCUAGAGAGACUAGGAGAUUUGGGGCUGCGGCCGUUUCCUCCGGAGCACCCACGGGACUGUGUGCUGGGGUCCCUCCACCGGCUGUGUCCUUUAUUCUUCUUUCUCACCCAACGAUUUACCUGAACGGUUAUAAAGUGCACGUUAUUUCCCUAAGCACUUUGAGUAUAUUGGCCCACUGCAUUCUGGACUUCAAAAUUUCUGAUGCGAAAUAUGCUGAUACUUUUGUUGAAGAAAUCUGGGCUUUGAGCAUCUGUAAGAUAUUUGUUGGAAGGUUUUGUCUGGUCCUUCUUACUGAUGUGUUGCUCUUCUUCAUGGCUCGUGAAAACUAUUAGAGUCAUCCAAGGGUGGGAAGAGAGAUCAGCAACGUUAACUGGGUGUCAAGAAAACAUACCGAGAUUGAAGCCAUCCACUUCUGCAGGAACACCGAAAAGAAAGGACUGUGAAGACAACCAGAGUGGGAAGGAACCUCAGAAACCUUUGGACCAACAGAGGAAAAAGCCCAGAGGAUGAAACAAUCCUAUUAACCCAUGGAUUUAAUGUCUACAAAGCAGAAAGUAGAAUAACUUGGACUUAAAGGCUGAAUGACCCAUUUCUUCAGCCUCCUCUCAAAGGCAAUAUUUCUCAGCCCUUCAGUCAUUUUCAUUGCUCUCUUCUGGCCUCUCUCCAAGAUUCUGUAUCUUGUUUAAAUAGUGAAGUCCAACACCGAACAUGAUUUAAGAACAGUCAUGCCUGGAAAAGUAACAAAGGCCCAACGAAUACGGACUCCAGAAAGUAAACAUUUUCUCAAAAACAAAAGUAUUGUAAUAUUAAUAAUGGUAGUAAGAAUUAGGUUGACCAAAUAAAAUCAUUUUUGUUGCCCGUCA